rnacentral:rRNA from 1 species
GUGGGGAAUAUUGCGCAAUGGGCGAAAGCCUGACGCAGCGACGCCGCGUGAGCGAUGAAGGCCUUCGGGUCGUAAAGCUCUGUUGGAGGGGAACGAAAAAAUCGAGGGAAUAACACCCCUCGGUCCUGACGGUACUCCUUCAGAAAGCACUGGCUAACUCCGUGCCAGCAGCCGCGGUAAUACGGAGAGUGCUAGCGUUGUUCGGAAUUAUUGGGCGUAAAGCGCGUGUAGGCGGGACGGCAUGUCAAGUGUGAAAUCCCUCAGCUUAACUGAGGAAUUGCGCUUGAAACGGCCGUUCUUGAGUGCGGGAGAGGGAAGCGGAAUUUCCAGUGUAGAGGUGAAAUUCGUAGAUAUUGGAAGGAACACCGGUGGCGAAGGCGGCUUCCUGGACCGUUACUGACGCUGAGACGCGAAAGCGUGGGGAGCAAACAGGAUUAGAAACCCCUGUAGUCC